rnacentral:misc_RNA from 1 species
AACGCACGAGACCUGCGGACCUGCGGAGGGAUCAUUACUGAGUGAGGGCCCUCUGGGUCCAACCUCCCACCCGUGUUUAACGAACCUUGUUGCUUCGGCGGGCCCGCCUCACGGCCGCCGGGGGGCAUCCGCCCCCGGGCCCGCGCCCGCCGAAGCCACCUGUGAACGCUGUCUGAAGUUGCAGUCUGAGAAAAUUAUUAAAUUAAUUAAAACUUUCAACAACGGAUCUCUAGAUCGGAA